UUUUCUUCACAUUUCCACCUACCUUUUCUUUUCAAACAAAAAAACUAUCACAAAAUCUUACAAAACAAAAAAUUUUAUUUGUUGGUGACCGAUUUAUCCAUAAAUAUACUGAUACAUAUAUAUAUAUACUGUAUCCGGAGUCUCGAAUUGGAAUCAAUUAAAAGGCGGAGAAGUUCAUCAUUGCAACGAUGGAUUUUAAGUUUUCAGUGGGAAGAUAAAGAAAGCUGCCUGAUAAAGUUUAUCAUUGGUGCUCGAUUUUCAGACGUGUAUGAAAAUUCCAUGGCAUCACUAUCAACUACAAUAGCUAUAGCUGAGUCAACUCUGCCAUCAGAUCAAAUAGAGAAACUUGGGUCGUUCUAUAAUACUAAUGCGAUUGACAACUUUGUCAAUGGGAAGACGGGUUCGCUGAAGAAUGGUUUCUUGGCCAAUGAGAUUCGUACAGUGUUGCGCUAAGAAUGGGAGGUUGUUUAUCAGCAUUAGGGUGCACAAUGCUAGAUCUUAUUAAGGUAACGAGAAGUAUGCUUCUCAUGGCUAGACUGUUUUAGGACUCCUUGCUGCCUGAGCUGUUAGAGAAAAGGAGGGAUCCUUCCCACGCUGUUCAGUCCUCAUCACCACCCCCAUAAUAAAUACGAGGCAGAUGGGGAGACAUUGGAUUGAAACUACCCAUUUAAGUUUUUAUAGGCUUAUCUUUUAGUAUAUAUUCUGAUUCCAGAUUGUCAUUGUUUUUGCAUCUAAUGAUAUCAAGAAGUGAAGGAAUGGAUGCACCUGCACAGCAAGAUAUGUCAUACUAUGAUCAUGUCAAGAAACGCCAUGCGGAGAAAGGCUGCCUCUAUGCCUUUUUGUUCACCCUGUGCUGUUGUUGUUGCUGCUAUGAGGGCUGUGAGUGCUGUGUGGGAUGCUGCUGCUGCAGUAAUUAAAAUGGAAAGAAGCUGAAGGUUUUUUAGGUUUCAGUAUUGUGAUUGAGUGAAUUGAUAUUGAAGAAUUCCUGUUCAUAAGCUGAUAAUUGUAGAUUGCUUGAAGUGUAUUGUGUCAACUAUGUGAGACAUCAUGUGCUUCUUGCACUAUGUUGAUGUUAUUGUUUGUAAAAUUAAGAAAUCUUUAUGAGAAAGCUGCUUAGUUAUAUUGAUUGAUUCA